CCUACGGGAGGCAGCAGUGAGGAAUAUUGGUCAAUGGGCUUACGCCUGAACCAGCCAAGUCGCGUGAGGGAAGACUGCCCUAUGGGUUGUAAACCUCUUUUGUCAGGGAGCAAUUGGCGCUACGUGUAGCGUUAUCGAGAGUACCUGAAGAAAAAGCAUCGGCUAACUCCGUGCCAGCAGCCGCGGUAAUACGGAGGAUGCGAGCGUUAUCCGGAAUGACUGGGCGUAAAGGGUGCGUAGGUGGUUUGGCAAGUUAGUAGCGUAAUUCCGGGGCUCAACUUCGGAACUACUACUAAAACUGCUGGGCUUGAGUGCAGGAGGGGCAGAUGGAAUUCCUAGUGUAGCGGUGGAAUGCGUAGAUAUUAGGAGGAACACCAGUGGCGAAGGCGAUAUGCUGGACUGUAACUGACACUGAGGCACGAAAGCGUGGGGAGCAAACAGGAUUAGAUACCCGGGUAGUC
rnacentral:rRNA from 1 species